GUGGCAGCCGCCGCGGUAAUACGGAGGGUGCGAGCGUUAAUCGGAAUUACUGGGCGUAAAGGGCGCGUAGGCGGUCGCGCAAGUCGGGUGUGAAAGCCCCGGGCUCAACCUGGGAAUUGCAUUCGAUACUGCGUAACUAGAGUCUGGUAGAGGGAAGCGGAAUUCCGCAUGUAGCGGUGAAAUGCGUAGAUAUGCGGAGGAACACCAGUGGCGAAGGCGGCUUCCUGGACCAAGACUGACGCUGAGGCGCGAAAGCGUGGGGAGCAAACAGGAUUAGAUACCCUGGUAGUCCACGCCCUAAGCGAUGAGGACUAGACGUUGGGGGAUAAAACCCUUUAGUGUCGCAGCUAACGCGUGAAGUCCUCCGCCUGGGGAGUACGGCCGCAAGGUUGAAACUCAAAGAAAUUGACGG
rnacentral:rRNA from 1 species